rnacentral:tRNA from 1 species
GCUUUCGUAGCUCAGUCGGUAGGUCGUCACACUUUUAAUCUGAGGGUCUUGGGUUCGAGUCCCGAAAAAGGCG